AUUUCUCUGAGAUGCGCGUCAGUGGGUGAGUCCCCUGAGCCGAUAUUUCAUACCAAACAGAAUGUGGUUUUUGCGCUGGUGAGCAUACCUGAUUCGCUCAGGAAGCCUAAAGGUUGCUAAACUGCGUUCACCUUGAACCAAGGGUUCAAGGGUUACAGCCUACAACGGCAUCUUGGAGACCUC
rnacentral:other from 1 species